rnacentral:rRNA from 1 species
AGAGUUUGAUCAUGGCUCAGAAUGAACGCUGGCGGCGUGCUUAACACAUGCAAGUCGCACGAGAAAGCGGGUAGCAAUACCUGCGAGUAAAGUGGCGCACGGGUGAGUAACACGUGGGUAAUCUGCCUCGGAAUCGGGGAUAACGUUGCGAAAGCGACGCUAAUACCGGAUGAUAUUGCUCAGACUCAGGUCUGGGGAAUCAAAGACGGCCUCUGUAUACAAGCUGUUGUUCGGAGAUGAGCCCGCGUACCAUUAGCUUGUUGGCGGUGUAACGGACCACCAAGGCGACGAUGGUUAGCCGGUCUGAGAGGAUGAUCGGCCACACCGGAACUGACACACGGUCCGGACUCCUACGGGAGGCAGCAGUGAGGAAUUUUGCGCAAUGGGGGAAACCCUGACGCAGCAACGCCGCGUGAGUGAUGAAGGCCUUCGGGUCGUAAAGCUCUGUCAGGCGGGAAGAAAGUGUUCUGUGGUAAUACCAUAGGAUAUUGACGGUACCGCCGAAGGAAGCACCGGCUAACUCCGUGCCAGCAGCCGCGGUAAUACGGAGGGUGCAAGCGUUAUUCGGAUUUAUUGGGCGUAAAGGGCGCGCAGGCGGCCCGUUAAGUCAGAUGUGAAAGCCCCCGGCUUAACCGGGGAAGUGCAUUUGAAACUGGCAGGCUUGAGUAUGGGAGAGGAAAUCGGAAUUCCUGGUGUAGCGGUGAAAUGCGUAGAUAUCAGGAGGAACACCGGUGGCGAAAGCGGAUUUCCGGACCAAUACUGACGCUGAGGCGCGAAGGUGCGGGGAGCAAACAGGAUUAGAUACCCUGGUAGUCCGCACAGUAAACUGUGAUCACUGGGUGUAGCGGGUAUUGACCCCCGCUGUGCCGAAGCUAACGCAUUAAGUGAUCCGCCUGGGAAGUACGGUCGCAAGAUUAAAACUUAAAUGAAUUGACGG